AAUCUUCUGUGAAAUUGCAACAGUGAUCGCUAACGUCAUCACUGAGCGAAAGUACAAACUAACUACCGAGAGCCUACUCUUUUUAUGCAACAGAGGCUGCACUGCACAGUCGCGCAGUUAUCUUGGUCGCGCUGAGGCUAAUCGGUUGUUCAAAUAUUCGGUGUCUGAUCUCCUUUGGAACAGAAAUUACAACUUUCGACCAGAUUGAUAAAGAUGGAAACGCCCAUCGAAGCAUCUUGAAAUGGUCGCAGUGGGUGUCCAUCGGGUGUGACAAGUGGCUUGUAGGCUUCCUUCGGUGAUUUUUUCAAGUACAAAAUAGCGUACGAAGCGAUCAGAGUAAGGCUGAGGCGACGGAGGAGCAGCCACCACCACCACCACCGGUUGGUUUAUAUGCCUGCGGAAGAGGGUCCACCACCACCGCGUAGCGCACCGCGUAGCGCUGCGAUAUAGGUACACCACCUGAGCGUUCGAGCGAACGGUGGGUAGGACACACACGGGAUGGAAAGAAAACGGCCAUGGAAAAAGAGGGAGAGGAGAAGAACGGGGGGAUACGGGGGGGGGGGGGAGAGGGAGAGGGACGGAGAAGCUGUCGCUCGAAGAGGAGAAGGUGUCUCACAUGGGUGCCUCGCUGUUCCCAAAGAUGGGGGAGACAUCCUGGCAGCUGACUGAAACUUACUGACUUUAUAGUUCAAACCGACGUUGUACGUAUCCUUCCCGCGCUCCUCUGCCAAACGACCCGCGCUAUACGGCGGAUCGUUCCUUUUUAUUAGGCCGGGGGGAUCGGGGUACCGAACCACAGCGAUAUGGAACAGACGAGUGAUCAACCUUGGAGAGGAUCGGAAAAUCGCCGAUCGAUUCCGAUUACGGUGGCUAAACGUCGACUCGCUUCGGAAGCGUUCGUUAAACUUUUUUCAGGGAUCGCCCGAGGUCGGAGAUAAUUUUUUUCAAGGAGUCGAGAUGUUAAUUGCGCGUUUCGUUUAAGUUGUUCGUUUUCAACUUACGGGCGAGAGGCUGACGUAAAUUACUGUGGAUACCUCGGGCGUAUUGUACCUCGAAAAUAUAUAUAUCUGAACCUCGCGAUGUCGGAUGUUGUAAGCCAUGGCCAAGUCGGUUCACCGGAUUUUAAACCGGAAGUCCAUUUCUGACCAGAGUAACCACUUAAGAUCCCCACUUCCUGGGGUCCCCGAGGAUUGAAAAAUAAGUCUUAUCUGGAGAGAAAAGAACGGAAAAAUAAGAAGCAAAUAAAAAAAGAAAAAAAGAAAAAAGGAGAAUUCUUACCCACUUGUUUACCGAUUCGUCUGAAAAUGAAAAAUAUGUGAAAAUCGAGAUACUUUGGCGUCUUGUUUUUAUCGGAGUUAUCCACGAUCUGUGGUUUGGCUUUCGAGUAAAAUAUAUGAAGGAUAAAGGUUUCCGGCGAGCUGUCGGCUAUAUAACAUGACACGCACCUCUAUACACGCGGGACACGCUAGAAAAACAAGUGUGACCAAAUAAUAAUUAUAACAAUGAUAAUUGAGAAUUGAAAAUGCGAGAGACGAAAAACUUGGCUGUAUAUAUAUAUAUACAUAUAUAUAUAUAAGCGGAUAGACUUUUCCGUGGGAUCAGAGUGGAAAGGUGACCUUGACUUUUUAGUUUAAUUCCGAUCUGCGGAGGGACUUCUAUUGACGUCAUCGGCCGCAUAACGGGUGGAUGAAUAAAUAGGAUCGUAGUCGAUGUUCGCGACCCCGGCGAGACUAAUUGAGAAGGCGUUCUGCUCGGCAAAUGGAAUAUACAAUGCCAUUAAAUUUCACAUUUAUCUUUACGUAAUUGAGCCAACCGGCAGUUUUCUCGACUACAAGAUAUAGUAUGUAUACCAGAAGUAUAAUACGCGCGUAAGCUGUACAUAACAAUCUCGUUCCCCGCCAACCGCCGCUCAUUGUUAGCUAUUCUCGCAUAGUUAUAUUGUAACGUAUACGUAAAUAUUUCUCGGAAACUAUUUUCGACGUUCAUUUUUAUCAAUAAUAACCACGAUCGUCCAUCUUCGAUUCGGACCUCGGAAAAUUUCAGAAAAACUUUCCAACCCGAGAUCAUUUUUAAUCACCCGAUCGCCCCGCGUCGCUCCGCGUCCACGCGAUUAACGCCCGUCCAUGAUAUUAUACCUCUGAAAAUCGAGUACCUACGUCGACCACGCGAUCAUCUCCUUCCUCGGCGAGCGAACAAAAGUUUCCCCUGUUUCAUUUCCUCUUCCUCUCCCGCCCUCUCCUCGUUACCAUCAUUCCACUCCAACGGACCGUCUUGAUCCUUCGGCGCACAUUUUUCUGAAUAUAAUUUCGUCAAAAAAAGGUGAGGAAUGACGGGACGUACUCGUCACGUCGGCGUCUCGAAGAGAACGAAAGAAAAACGGGAGGUGGGCGAUAACCGGGCGCGGGUUUUUUUUUUCUCAAAACUUCUGGAAGAACCCUACGCCGCGAUCUAGAGUCGCGGGAAUUCUGACGGUAGAACACGUACACGCGUGUACGGUGUAAGGUGGGCGUCGGGAGGAACGGUAGAGAGAGAGAGAGAGAGAGAGAGAGAGAGACUGCUGCAGGGAGACGUCCGUCGGAGGGACCCGCAGGAGGAUAGAAUAGAGGAAGUGCACGCGCUGAGCCGUGACUCGCUCCGCUGGCAGCAACAGAUACGAAAGUUCUCCCCUUCUGCCCGGAAGUGCUCCGGCUAUCUUUGUCGGUCCGUUGUCCCCUCGCGGCCACGGGUCUGCUGCACGUUCGUGGCGCCGUAUGUCCGUGCGCCCUUUUACAACGUAUAGGGCGCAUACGUACGAGUCGUAGGUACGCGCGCACCUACACCCCUACCGCCGCUCAACUUCCAUCCAUCCUUCGUGCGUUCGUACGUUCGCUCGUCUGUAUCACCUGCGCAACGUCGAGUCCAGCAGCAGCCGCAGCGGCAGCAGCAGCAGCAGCAAUAGCGGAGGUACGACGGAUACAUGCGGUGCGCUCGCUCGCGCGCCCGCGCGUGUGUGAGUUUUAUACACACUCAGGUAACCACCUGCUAAACAUUCGCUCGGCUACGGUGCGCCCGGGGAACGGCGACGGCGGCGGGUAACUCGUUGCUAUAAUUUCAUAGAAAAUUACCCUUGGAAAUUCGUUUUGUCGCGGCAUCGA